rnacentral:rRNA from 1 species
GACGUAGGGCGCGAGCGUUGUCCGGAUUUAUUGGGCGUAAAGAGCUCGUAGGCGGUCUGUUGCGUCGGCUGUGAAAACCCGAGGCUCAACCUCGGGCCUGCAGCCGAUACGGGCAGACUAGAGUUCGGCAGGGGAGACUGGAAUUCCUGGUGUAGCGGUGAAAUGCGCAGAUAUCAGGAGGAACACCGGUGGCGAAGGCGGGUCUCUGGGCCGAUACUGACGCUGAGGAGCGAAAGCGUGGGGAGCGAACAGG